CUAAACCUUAAUCAUGAUCCCUUUGUGUCUAGCGCUAAUGUUGCUUUUGGAGUAAGGACUUUUUUUUUUUUUUUACGUUUUCAGCUAUCGGCCAGGUGGCUGAAGGCCUGCACUUGGGUACCUACCUCCUUUUCGGAUAGACUGUAUUCCCUUUCCAUGUUUUAGCUGUACCUGUGACACAGGACACGAGAGAACGUGCUCAUGUGAACACAAGUGAAGGACACCGGGGGGACUUGCCACACAGAUGCCAGCACGUGGACUGUGUACAGGGCAUUUCUGCUGAAGCGCUAUGUCUGCUUUUCUGCAUACGGCCCCAUUCCUUCUCUACAAGAGACGCCUGUACCAACCCAUGGUGGGGGAAAAGACGAAGAUGAGAUCCUGAGAAACUUGAGGAAUGUGGUAAUGGCAGCGGACACAUUCCCCUUGCAUCACAAUGGUCUGUGGUACCGCCUCUGCACCUUGGCCCAAGACCUAACA